rnacentral:piRNA from 1 species
UUCUACAGUUGUGCAUUGUUUCUCCUAA